rnacentral:rRNA from 1 species
AUUGAACGCUGGCGGCAGGCCUAACACAUGCAAGUCGAACGAGUGGCGGACGGGCGAGCAAUGUCUGGGAAACUGCCCGACGGAGGGGGAUAAGUAAGGGAACAGGUGGCUACUAGCGCUAACCAUCGGAUGGGCCCAGGUUGGAUUAGCUAGUCGGUGGGGUAAUGGCUCACCUAGGCGACGAUCCCUAGCUGGGCUGAGAGGAUGACCGGCCACACUGGAACUGAGACACGGCCCAGACUCCUACGGGAGGCAGCAGUGGGGAAUAUUGGACAAUGGGCGCAAGCCUGACACAGCCAUGCCGCGUGUAUGAAGAAGGUCUUCGGGUCGUAAAGUACUUUCAGCGAGGAGGCGUUACUCGCAGAAGAAGCACCGGCUAACUCCGUGCCAGCAGCCGCGGUAAUUC